GGGGCCGACUGGUUUCGACACGAUAGCUUUGAGAGAGGAAGCAGGCCGUGGUCUCCUCGCCACGUUAAUCAGGGGUACCGUCAAAUUGAAUUGACAAGAAUUCUUCUUACGAGCCUCAGCUGGCUCUUGCCGCUUAAUUUAUAGCGACACGCCAAUCCCGGAUGUUCCCCGCUCCGGGUGCGGUGUCAUGCUAGGGGAAUGCUCCCGCGCACGUGAUCGGUAUGGCGCGGGCUAAGACCGAACCGAUUGGGGCGCUGCGAGCGUGUCGCUGCGCGCACAGCGCCCGAGACCAAACCAGCGACUGAGCCUGGAGAUGCCGAUCAGGAGGCUACCGUGGACCGGAGUUCGAUUCUCCGCGGCUCCACCA
rnacentral:tmRNA from 1 species